rnacentral:rRNA from 1 species
AGAGUUUGAUCCUGGCUCAGAGCGAACGCUGGCGGCGUGCUUAACACAUGCAAGUCGAGUGCGCGUCUCCGUAGCAAUACGGAAAUGGCGCACGGCGCACGGGUGCGUAACACGUGGGUAAUCUGCCCUCUGAUGGGGAAUAACCCGCCGAAAGGCGGGCUAAUUCCGCAUAACAUUCCUUGGACUCCGGUUCGAGGAUUCAAAGGCGUAAGUCGUCGGAGGUGGAGCCCGCGCACGAUUAGCUAGUUGGUAGGGUAAUGGCCUACCAAGGCUAUGAUCGUUAGCUGGUCUGAGAGGAUGGCCAGCCACACUGGAACUGAGACACGGUCCAGACUCCUACGGGAGGCAGCAGUGGGGAAUCUCGCACAAUGGGCGAAAGCCUGAUGCAGCGACGCCGCGUGGGGGAUGAAGCUUCUCGGAGUGUAAACCCCUUUCGACCGGGACGAAUACCUCGCAAGAGGGGUGACGGUACCGGUAUAAGAAGCCCCGGCUAACUACGUGCCAGCAGCCGCGGUAAGACGUAGGGGGCCAGCGUUGCUCGGAAUUACUGGGUGUAAAGGGUUCGUAGGCGGUGUGGCAAGUCGGGAGUGAAAUCUCUGAGCUUAACUCAGGGGCUGCUUCCGAAACUGCCGUGCUAGAGUGUGGGAGAGGCGCGUGGAAUUGCAGGUGUAGCGGUGAAAUGCGUAGAUAUCUGCAGGAACACCCGUGGCGAAAGCGGCGCGCUGGACCACUACUGACGCUGAGGAACGAAAGCUAGGGGAGCAAACAGGAUUAGAUACCCCCGUAGUCC